rnacentral:SRP_RNA from 1 species
GCUGGGAGCAGUGAUGUGCAUCUGUAGUCCUAGCUGCUCAGAUAGCUGAGACUGGAGGAUCACUUGAGCCUAGGAGUUCUGAGGAGUAGUGUACUCUGCCAAUUGGGUAUCUGCACUAAGUCUGGCAUCAAUAUGAUGAUCUCCCAGGAGCUGGGGACCACCAGGUUGCCUAAGGAGGAGCAAACUGCCCAGGUCAGAAAUGGAGCAGGAAAAACUCCCGUGAUGAUCAGUAGUGGGACAGUGCCUGUGAAUAGCCACUGCACUCCAGCCUGGGCAAUAGCACAAGACUCCAUCUCUU